rnacentral:rRNA from 1 species
AGUGAACGCUGGCGGUAGGCCUAACACAUGCAAGUCGAACGGCAGCACAGUAAGAGCUUGCUCUUACGGGUGGCGAGUGGCGGACGGGUGAGGAAUACAUCGGAAUCUACUUUUUCGUGGGGGAUAACGUAGGGAAACUUACGCUAAUACCGCAUACGACCUACGGGUGAAAGCAGGGGAUCUUCGGACCUUGCGCGAUUGAAUGCGCCGAUGUCGGAUUAGCUAGUUGGCGGGGUAAAGGCCCACCAAGGCGACGAUCCGUAGCUGGUCUGAGAGGAUGAUAAGCCACAAUGGAACUGAGACACGGUCCAGACUCCUAAGGGAGGCAGCAGUGGGGAAUAUUGGACAAUGGGCGCAAGCCUGAUCCAGCCAUACCGCGUGGGUGAAGAAGGCCUUCGGGUUGGAAAGCCCUUUUGUUGGGAAAGAAAAGCAGCAGGUUAAUACCCCGCUGUUCUGACGGUACCCAAAGAAUAAGCACCGGCUAACUUCGUG